rnacentral:lncRNA from 1 species
UUAGGAGGGCCAACCGUCACACCAAAAUAAAACAUGCGCUAAUGGAAGCCGAUUGCAAAGCAGGAUCACAGAAGAACUGCAGCUUCCUGGGGAGCAGUUUCACCUCCACAGGCAUCGCUUCAUACUCCUCACUGUCAAUGCUAAAAGAGCCCCCUGCUCCCUGGGGAGAAGAGAAUAUUCAGAACAGCUCAAACACAUCAGUGGCCUACUGGAGUUGGAGGUCUCACAGCAGCACCAGAAGAAGUUCAUUAUGGAAAACAACAUCCUCUCUUGAGGAGCUAUCCUAAUGUUCUUUUACAAAAAAAAAUUCAGUGCCUACUACGAUGGGCACAGUGCUGGUUCUGGAAACAUCCUAAUUCUACCAUCCAUGAAAAAGGAUUUAUUUUCUUUUUUUGGCCCCUAUCUCCUCCCAGAGUAUUUUGGGAUUUGAACAACAUGGUUAUAAUUUUCAAAUAUGUAUUAAAAGGCAAGGGUCCUGCCAUGUCUUAAGGAACUCAUAUACAUAGUCUUUCUAUAUUAUGCUAAUCCUUCUCAAAUAAAAAUAAAGACAGCUAAUUCUCUUAUGA